AGUGAACGCUGGCGGUAGGCCUAACACAUGCCAGUCGAACGGCAGCACAGUAAGAGCUUGCUCUUACGGGUGGCGAGUGGCGGACGGGUGAGGAAUACAUCGGAAUCUACUUUUUCGUGGGGGAUAACGUAGGGAAACUUACGCUAAUACCGCAUACGACCUACGGGUGAAAGCAGGGGAUCUUCGGACCUUGCGCGAUUGAAUGAGCCGAUGUCGGAUUAGCUAGUUGGCUGGGUAAAGGCCCACCAAGGCGACGAUCCGUAGCUGGUCUGAGAGGAUGAUCAGCCACACUGGAACUGAGACACGGUCCAGACUCCUACGGGAGGCAGCAGUGGGGAAUAUUGGACAAUGGGCGCAAGCCUGAUCCAGCCAUACCGCGUGGGUGAAGAAGGCCUUCGGGUUGUAAAGCCCUUUUGUUGGGAAAGAAAAGCAGCAGGUUAAUACCCCGCUGUUCUGACGGUACCCAAAGAAUAAGCACCGGCUAACUUCGUG
rnacentral:rRNA from 1 species